GGGCAUUGAUCUGACUGUCAAGUUAUAUACAGCACAGGCUUCAAGAGGGGGCAACGUUUCCUUUCGGCGUUGGCGUUAUUUUCCUCCACCGGAUCGCACACGAGUGUCAUUUAUCAUGUGGACCAGGUUGCAGAAAUAUAAUGUCAUCAUUUGCCACUGCAGUCGGCCCCCUGAUGACACCAAUACAGAGGUACAUGAAGCUGUCAGCAGCAGAAAGGAAACAGCAAUACAGGG